CUGGGGAUCUCAAGACCUUGUCGUUGGUGGGGGAGCUUACGAACCUAGUCGAGCAACGACUUUAAUCCUCCGAAGCUUUUUAAAAAAGUUCUUCGGCGAUGAUGUGAAUUAUAGAAGCUCAACAGCAAUGUUCAGCGACUAUUUGAAGCUGAAGAGUCGGCGCUCGGUUAGGUUCCAACUAAGAAGAGAUCCAUCCUGUCUCUCUCUGGCAAGGAGAAGCAGGAGUAUUAAGGACAUAAGCCCCCAAUCCAAGACGUGUCCACCGUGUCAAUGGAUGAAUGACAUCAGGGUCACCAAAUCCGCUGUGUAUUUUGGAAGGGUUCGCGUGGACGGAGGCCGAAUUGUGGUAAAUUUCAGUGAGGAUCUCGUAAAGCUCGGGAAACGAUUGUUAGUUACGGGUUCGACUUGAUGAACAUGCGGUCCUUUCGCGAUGCUACAGAGGGAGAUGUCGUAAACGGAGGUGCUGAAAUACCGGGCGACCUUUCAGUGUAAUUUUUAGCCUUACCCUCAUAAACGGAGCUCUUUGGGGGUGGACCGCUUAAUUCUCCGAUACUCGUGGGAUUAAAAAAUGGAACAAUUUGAUAAUAUUAAAAACACUGACGACGAUAGAAGGGAGAUAGAAUUAGUUCGGAUUAGUGAGACUGAAGAAAAUGUGUCUGCGACUUCAGAAAGUUCUACUGUAUCUAAGGAAGCGAUUUUACCUUUAAGGAAAAUGCAACAGAUCAGUUCGAUUAAACGACCUAGUGGUGCUCAACGAAGACGAAUGAAGAGAGAAAAAAUAAAAUUACUGUCACGUAUGACUGAAGUAUUAACAAAAUCUGGCACUUCUCAUCAAUGUCCACCUUUACCUGUCAUGCAAGUUCAGGUGGUGGCUCCGAUAGAAAAUAUUUCGGCUCCAGGUUCAGAGUUUAUUAAGCAGAAAGAUGCUGUUUUGGAAACUGAAAGGAUCAGCCCGGAAGACAACAUUCCUGAACAGAGUAGAAAAGAAAUAAUUACAGUAGAUUUGGAAACUGAAGAAGGCGAAUUUUGUAAAAAUAGGACCGAAGUUUAUCAACCGAUUGAAAUAAAACUAGAACCGGAAACGUCUUUUCUUAGAGUAAUUGAACGGAAUAGUUUUAAGGGUGGCGGAAUGACAUAUGUGGAACUUGAUCAGCUUAGAGUAAUAAUAAUGAAUGAAAUUCAUAAGAUUAUAAGUGGUCCUCUUCCCAGAUUUGGUUAUGUUCGCCUUGUAGAUGGAGUUAUCAAAACGGAUUGUCUUGAUGAAUUCACUCGUGACUGGCUGAGUUCUCAAAUAUCGAGGAUUAGCCAAUUGUUGGGUGGUCAUUCUCUAAAAGUUACGGAUCCUUCUCAACGUAAAAAGUACAUUAGAGCUGGUACAUGGAUCUUUGGUCGUCCCGAAGAGCCAGAAACAAUUUUGAGAUUAAUUAAAAAUCAAAAUCCAAAUCUUGAUGUUUCUUCCUGGGAAGUGAUUCAUUCGGACAAAAAGAAUGAGACAUUGGGAGAUCAAAAAGGAUAUAAACUUGAAUUGGCCAUUCCAGAGGAAUCUGUUGUUAAUGUUGAGACACUUGGUUAUAAGAUUUGCUUCGGAUUUGGUCAAAUUAGUUUAAAAUUAAUGGGAUCAAUUUACCACGGAGUAAAAAUAGAGUGAUAAAUUUAAUUUUAGUUUAUUGGGUACAAAAAAGUGGAUAUUUAUUAUUUUACAGUUUCGAUAAUCAUUAGGUUGUUAAAUUUUUUUUCCGAAGGUGAUUGUGAACAAAUUUAUGAAGAAUUGGUGAUUUUUAGAAGUGCUAUUUUUACCUCAGAACCACUUUCUAGAAUGUUUGUUUAAAGUGACAAAGUGUUAAGAAGAGAAACUUUAAAAAAAUGGAAGUGAAUACCUGAAGAAAAUUAGAACAACUAAUUUGGAGUAAUGGAGGAGGAUAUUUCGAAGGAAUAACAUCGGACAAUUUGGAGGAUUUUUCAAAAAUGUUUAUAAAGCUGAUAUUUACGACGAGGUUGAAGAAAAAUUGAAGAAAUUGGGUCCUAACAUAAAAUCUAAAUGUGUGGGUGGUGGAAGAAUAAAACACGACGCAGAUGAAAAUGC